rnacentral:rRNA from 1 species
GACGAACGCUGGCGGCGUGCUUAACACAUGCAAGUCGAACGGAAAGGCCCCUUUGGGGGUCCUCGAGUGGCGAACGGGUGAGUAACACGUGAGUAACCUUCCCUUGACUUCGGGAUAACUUCAGGAAACUGGGGCUAAUACCGGAUAGGAAUCCUUGCUGCAUGGUGGGGGUUGGAAAGCUUCGGCGGUUUUGGAUGGACUCGCGGCUUAUCAGCUUGUUGGUGGGGUAGUGGCUUACCAAGGCUUUGACGGGUAGCCGGCCUGAGAGGGCGACCGGCCACACUGGGUCUGAGAUACGGCCCAGACUCCUACGGGAGGCAGCAGUGGGGAAGAUUGCACAAGGGGCGGAAGCCUGAUGCAGCAACGCCGCGGGCGGGAUGACGGCCUUCGGGUUGUAAACCGCUUUCAGCAGGGGCGAAGCUUGUGGUGACGGUACCUGCAGAAGAAGCACCGGCUAACUACGUG